rnacentral:rRNA from 1 species
GAUGAACGCUGGCGGCGUGCCUAAUACAUGCAAGUCGAGCGAACGGACGAGAAGCUUGCUUCUCUGAUGUUAGCGGCGGACGGGUGAGUAACACGUGGAUAACCUACCUAUAAGACUGGGAUAACUUCGGGAAACCGGAGCUAAUACCGGAUGAUAUUUUGAACCGCAUGGUUCAAAAGUGAAAGACGGUCUUGCUGUCACUUAUAGAUGGAUCCGCGCUGCAUUAGCUAGUUGGUAAGGUAACGGCUUACCAAGGCAACGAUGCAUAGCCGACCUGAGAGGGUGAUCGGCCACACUGGAACUGAGACACGGUCCAGACUCCUACGGGAGGCAGCAGUAGGGAAUCUUCCGCAAUGGGCGAAAGCCUGACGGAGCAACGCCGCGUGAGUGAUGAAGGUCUUCGGAUCGUAAAACUCUGUUAUUAGGGAAGAACGUAUGUGUAAGUAACUGCGCACAUCUUGACGGUACCUAAUCAGAAAGCCACGGCUAACUACGUG